rnacentral:lncRNA from 1 species
UUUCCGUUAGUUUUAAUUCAAAAACGUUAGGUUUUCUUCAUUUUCUUCUGUAAUUUUUCUGGGAUUCUUGUUGUUCAAGGUUGAUGGAGAUGAUAUGAAGAUGAAAAAGAGGAGAAGAAAAUGAAGAACACCUAACAUUUUUGAAUUAAAACUAAUGAAAAUGACCAAAAUGUGUAACAGAGAGAAGUUAAGGGACCAAAAUA